UACGGGGGAGCAAGCGUUGUUCGGAUUUACUGGGCGUAAAGGGCGCGUAGGCGGUCAGCACAAGUCAGUUGUGAAAUCUCCGGGCUUAACUCGGAAAGGUCAACUGAUACUGUGCGACUAGAGUGCAGAAGGGGCAACUGGAAUUCUCGGUGUAGCGGUGAAAUGCGUAGAUAUCGAGAGGAACACCUGCGGCGAAGGCGGGUGCUGGGCUGACACUGACGCUGAGGCGCGGAAGCCAGGGAGCGAACGGG
rnacentral:rRNA from 1 species